UUUGACAUAUUCAAAGCCAAGAUCUGAAGUAGUAAUCUUAUUCAGUGACAUAUUUUAAAUCUUUGAAAUAAGUUAUAAGAUUUAUGUCAGGUUUGACUUCUGAGUUUUCUGAAGGUCUUUGUUUAACAUUUCAGGCAAUGGAGGAGUGUUCACAUCAAUUAAAUUCUGCAAAAGAGAUUUCCUUUUGGAGUAUGUCUUUGAAAGGCUGGCAAAACGGAAGCUGAGGAAAGGGAAAAAUUCCAUAGACAAGAAUGUGGGGUCCUAGCUGGAUUUUUUUCCCUUUCAGUGGAAAAGCGGAAUGACGACAGCUGCAAUAUGGAGACAAGGCAACAUAUGGCUGCAUCCCAUCAACGUCAGAAAGAAAACCGAGCUUAUCAUCCAACAGACUGAGUUUAUCAUAGAUGGAAGGAAAGUGAAGAAGGGAUUGUCAGGGCUCACUUCAAUGUUAUAUGGGUGACAAUUAAAAAGGAUUCCCAGGAAAGAGAGAAAUCGACGUUUUUCUGAAGGAUAAUCUGUUUGUCUCAUUUCCUGUCAAACCAUCAAGCCAAGGUUAUGAAUGAGAAAUAUAAGCACAGAGUAAAGGUAAAAAUAUAACUUUUUGUAGUUAACCUAGUCACUAGGUUCACAAAGCUUCACUAUACUGGCCUUUCUGAGUUGGCUCAUCUGACAUCAUGAUGGCAGUACUUAAGAUUUUCUCGGAGUGUGCGUGCUACUUAAUUUGAACUGCGAUAUCUCGGUAAUUACUCAUCAUAAAUAAAGAGACAAGGUUUUUAA